CGGCGGACGGGUGAGUAACGCGUAGGCAACCUGCCCUUUGCAGAGGGAUAGCCUCGGGAAACCGGGAUUAAAACCUCAUAAUACCGCAGUGAGACAUCUCACAGCGGCCAAAGAUUUAUCGGCAAAGGAUGGGCCUGCGUCUGAUUAGUUAGUUGGUGGGGUAACGGCCUACCAAGGCGACGAUCAGUAGCCGACCUGAGAGGGUGAUCGGCCACAUUGGAACUGAGACACGGUCCAA
rnacentral:rRNA from 1 species